GGGGAAUAUUCGGCAAUGGACGAAAGUCUGACCCAGCAACGCCGCGUGAAGGAAGAAGUCUUUCGGGUUGUACACUUCUUUCAAGGGGGAAGAGCAGAAGACGGUACCCCUUGAAUAAGCCACGGCUAACUACGCGCCAGCAGCCGCGGUACUACGUAGGUGGCAAGCGUUGUCCGGAUUUACUGGGUGUAAAGGGCGUGCAGCCGGGAAGGCAAGUCAGAUGUGAAAUCUGGAGGCUCAACCUCCAAACUGCAUUUGAAACUGCUUUUCUUGAGUAUCGGAGAGGUAAUCGGAAUUCCUUGUGUAGCGGUGAAAUGCGUAGAUAUAAGGAAGAACACCAGUGGCGAAGGCGAAUUACUGGACGACAACUGACGGUGAGGCGCGAAAGCAUGGGGAGCAAACA
rnacentral:rRNA from 1 species